UGUAGCAGGAUUACAAACUUUUCCAGCAGUGAAUGAAAACAUCUAGUGAUUUGCUAUGCAAACAUCGAAGCUAGUUCAUGUUAGCAGCCAAGCUAGUCAUUGCUGGCAGCACCCAAACAACUCCACAUAAACUUCAGCUAAAAUAAGCCUCUUCCUUUCUAUGAUGUCCAAAAGUAUUGGCGAUCAAACCAUUCUUAUGGUUGUACGAGUUUCGCCAAACAGCGUCAAACCCAUGCGCUACACUAUCUGCUAACAACACUGAGGUUGACAGUGGCAGACCUUUAAACAUUAACGUGAUGAGGGGUCUAUGUUCUCGUCUAAGCGUCCUCUAUUUGAUGAAACAGCUGCCAAUCACAUCGCUUACCCUGGACACAGUUGGAAAAUAAACGAUAGUCACCGCCCCCUCCUCCCCUUGCCCCUUCACACAUUGGUGAGAAUUGCUGUUACUCCAAGACAAUAGCGCUUCAAUGGCCAAUAGAAAUCAAUAUAAAAAAAAAAUUUAAAAAAGGGGGGGUGGGUCUAAUGCGCUAUUCAGGAAAACUUUUACGUCAGUAAUGUACAUUCUGAGGUAACUAAAGGCUUGUGUUAGCUUACUAAGGAACCGAACGCGUGUUUUACCCAAAGAAGUGAGUACGCAAUUAAAGAACUUUACUAACACUCUGUCUACUAUUUAAACAUGUCACGCAGUUGCUUUGAUGGUAAUUGACAAAAUCGGAAGUUAUCAUAUACCGGAAGCAUGUUUUAAAAGGCUACGGCAUAAUUGUUAGAAAUUUACCAGAAAAACACGGUGUAUUCAGCGUGGGAUUUUGGCGAAAGGAUGCAUGUAGACUACUGAAAAUCGAUGAGCAGACACUCCAUUAAUGUGGCAGAGGAUAAGAAAGCAGAGAAUUCAAUCUAUGAGUAAGUGUAUAUUUUGUUUAUUCAGGCACCAUUUAAUACAAUAUUAUAUGAAGUGUCUAUAGAGUGUUGUAUACCGUAUCUGCUUUCUGCAUUGCUAUUUAAAAGUGGACAGAGAACAGUGAUACAAUUCUAUACAACAGUCAUGAAGCCAAGGUAUGCCUCUCCACAUUGAACAGACAUGUUAUGUAUUUGUUUCAAACCAUGUUGUGUGAAAUUUUUUAUUUAACUCAAAGCAAAGUGAUUGUCUUCUCUCUGCACUGAAAUGGCUCAGGACAUCGUAGUUGCAGCUCUCUUCCACUUUGACCAGGGCUUGUGCAGAACUGCACAGAAUGACAGGCAGAUUUGCAUCAAAGGUCAAAAGAGCAAGAAUUCCAUGGAAAGACAAUUGCAAUUGCUCUGAGUCAGAGCAUGAAACUACAGACAUGCCUCAGGUAUAUUCUGGGAACUCAAUAGGUAGUGGAAUAUGACAAGAAAUAACUGCUGUUUGAUUUUAGCUGAACCCUGACAUAAUAAGUGGUGACACACAAGCACUCAGAGCCAGUAAAGCCAUAAUUAGAGAGGAAAUUUGCCAUCCAAAUGGUAAGGUAAGGCAAUUGGUGUUCUGUUUGUUAUAUUCUCAUGUAUUGUCAGAUCUCAGUGCAUCUUGUUUUCCCAAUGCUUUGGCUCCAGCAGAUUGAGCAGCUUCUAUCAAAUGGGUCACGUGUCAUUGUAUUCUGGAAUGGAAAUAAAAAAGAGAUCGGUGCAGAUCAAAAGUCAGUCACAGUAUCAUUCUUCAAUGGAGAUGUUAAACGCAUACAGGCUGAUAGAACUGUGGUAUGUAUUGAAUGAUUUAAGGCAACAUGGGAAGUGUGGAGAGGCAAUUUUUUGUUUUUACAGACUGCUUAACUGUAGUUGAAUAAUCAAAGAGGAAUAUGAGUGAAAUAUUUUACUGAUUCUCAAUCCUUUGUGCACUUGAAUGCUGAUCUAUGCUCCUAAUGAUCAUACUUGUAAACUCCGCAUCAAAAGUUAUUUAUGCUUAUUCUGUUUCUCAGACAAUGAAUUGUGAAAUAAUUUGUGAAGAAUUUAAGUAGCUGUUGAAUUGAGAAAUACUUAAACGAAGUCACAUGUUGACAACUAAUACAGUUGUCCGAGAUCUUCAGAACAUUCUGUUAAUUCUUUCUGUUGUAUACAUUGUAGAAAUGUUUGUUUAAACAAAAGUUCCUAUUUUUCACUAAUUAUUUUAACACG